rnacentral:misc_RNA from 1 species
UUAAAUAAAAAUCGGUGUUGUUGCUGCCUUUCGUGGUGACGCGUCGGAAUUGGGUCGUCUUACCUUCGGAUAAGUGACUUAAAAUUUUUCAUGAUUUUCGAACGUAUUUAAAUUGCUUACGUACGUUUGAGAUAUCGAAUGGUCUAUUAGGUUCGGUCAUCCUCAUGACUCGCGCCUAUAAUUUUUCAUU